rnacentral:rRNA from 1 species
GAGUUUUGAUCAUGGCUCAGGAUGAACGCUAGCUACAGGCUUAACACAUGCAAGUCGAGGGGAAACGAUAUUGGAAGCUUGCUUCCGAUAGGCGUCGACCGGCGCACGGGUGAGUAACGCGUAUCCAACCUGCCCACCACUUGGGGAUAACCUUGCGAAAGUAAGACUAAUACCCAAUGAUAUCUCUAGAAGACAUCUGAAAGAGAUUAAAGAUUUAUCGGUGAUGGAUGGGGAUGCGUCUGAUUAGCUUGUUGGCGGGGUAACGGCCCACCAAGGCAACGAUCAGUAGGGGUUCUGAGAGGAUGAACGACCACACUGGAACUGAGACACGGUCCAGACUCCUACGGGAGGCAGCA